rnacentral:rRNA from 1 species
GAUGAACGCUGGCGGCGUGCCUAAUACAUGCAAGUCGAGCGAACAGACGAGGAGCUUGCUCCUCUGACGUUAGCGGCGGACGGGUGAGUAACACGUGGAUAACCUACCUAUAAGACUGGGAUAACUUCGGGAAACCGGAGCUAAUACCGGAUAACAUGUUGAAACGCAUGGUUCAACAGUGAAAGACGGUCUUGCUGUUACUUAUAGAUGGAUCCGCGCCGCAUUAGCUAGUUGGUAAGGUAACGGAUUACCAAGGCAACGAUGCGUAGCGGACCUGAGAGGGUGAUCGGCCACACUGGAACUGAGACACGGUCCAGACUCCUACGGGAGGCAGCAGGAGGGAAUCUUCCGCAACGGGCGAAGCCCUGACGGAGCAACGCCGCGUGAGUGAAGAAGGUCUUCGGAUCGUAAAACGCUGUUAUUAGGGAAGAACAAAUGUGUAAGUAACUAUACACGUCUUGACGGUACCUAAUCAGAAAGCCCCGCCUAACUACGUGCCAGCCGCCGCAGUAA